rnacentral:rRNA from 1 species
UACAGAGGUCUCAACCGUUGUUCGGAUUCAUUGGGCGUAAAGGGUGCGUAGGCGGCGCGGUAAGUCGGAUGUGAAAUCUCGGGGCUUAACUCCGAAACUGCAUUCGAUACUGCCGUGCUUGAGGACUGGAGAGGAGACUGGAAUUUACGGUGUAGCGGUGAAAUGCGUAGAUAUCGUAAGGAAGACCAGUGGCGAAGGCGGGUCUCUGGACAGUUCCUGACGCUGAGGCACGAAGGUCAGGGGAGCAAACGGG